rnacentral:rRNA from 1 species
UACGGAGGGGGCUAGCGUUGUUCGGAAUUACUGGGCGUAAAGCGCGCGUAGGCGGACCUGCAAGUCGGGGGUGAAAGCCCGAGGCUCAACCUCGGAACUGCCUUCGAUACUGCGGGUCUCGAGUCCGGGAGAGGUGAGUGGAAUUCCUAGUGUAGAGGUGAAAUGCGCAGAUAUCAGGAGGAACACCGAUUGCGAAGGCAGCUCGCUGGGACGUAACUGACGCUGAGACGCGAAAGCGUGGGGAGCAAACAGG